rnacentral:rRNA from 1 species
CACGUAGGGUGCGAGCGUUGUCCGGAAUUAUUGGGCGUAAAGAGCUCGUAGGUGGUGUGUCGCGUCGGCCGUGAAAACCUGCAGCUUAACUGUGGGCUUGCGGUCGAUACGGGCAUCACUGGAGUUCGGCAGGGGAGACUGGAAUUCCUGGUGUAGCGGUGAAAUGCGCAGAUAUCAGGAGGAACACCGGUGGCGAAGGCGGGUCUCUGGGCCGAUACUGACGCUGAGGAGCGAAAGCGUGGGGAGCGAACAGG